rnacentral:rRNA from 1 species
AUUGAACGCUGGCGGCAUGCUUUACACAUGCAAGUCGAACGGUAACAGGCCUUCGGGUGCUGACGAGUGGCGCACGGGUGAGUAAUGCAUCGGAACGUGCCCAGAGGCGGGGGAUAACGCAGCGAAAGCUGUGCUAAUACCUCAUGUGAUCUGAGGAUGAAAGCGGGGGACCACGCAGCAAUGUUUGGCCUCGCGCCUUUGGAGCGGCCGAUGUCAGAUUAGGUAGUUGGUGGGGUAAAGGCCUACCAAGCCGACGAUCUGUAGCUGGUCUGAGAGGACGACCAGCCACACUGGGACUGAGACACGGCCCAGACUCCUACGGGAGGCAGCAGUGGGGAAUUUUGGACAAUGGGCGCAAGCCUGAUCCAGCAAUGCCGCGUGCGGGAAGAAGGCCUUCGGGUUGUAAACCGCUUUUGUACGGAAAGAAAAGGCUCUGGCUAAUACCUGGGGCUGAUGACGGUACCGUAAGAAUAAGCACCGGCUAACUACGUG